UACGGAGGAUCCGAGCGUUAUCCGGAUUUAUUGGGUUUAAAGGGAGCGUAGAUGGAUUUUUAAGUCAGUUGUGAAAGUUUGCGGCUCAACCGUAAAAUUGCAGUUGAUACUGGAUAUCUUGAGUGCAGUUGAGGCAGGCGGAAUUCGUGGUGUAGCGGUGAAAUGCUUAGAUAUCACGAAGAACUCCGAUUGCGAAGGCAGCCUGCUAAGCUGCAACUGACAUUGAGGCUCGAAAGUGUGGGUAUCAAACAGG
rnacentral:rRNA from 1 species